rnacentral:misc_RNA from 1 species
UACGUGAGCCUCAAGCGUUACCCGGAAUUACUGGGCGUAAAGGGUGUGUAGGCGGUUAUGUUAGUCUCUUGUUAAAUCUUUCGGCCCAACCGAAAGGCUGCAGGAGAAACGGCAUAACUAGAGGAUGCGAGGGGUCUAUGGAACUCACGGUGUAGGGGUGAAAUCCGUUGAUAUCGUGGGGAACACCAAAAGCGAAGGCAAUAGACUGGCGCACUCCUGACGCUGUGGCACGAAAGCCAGGGUAGCGAACGGG